rnacentral:rRNA from 1 species
GACGAACGCUGGCGGCGUGCUUAACACAUGCAAGUCGAACGGAAAGGCCCUGCUUUUGUGGGGUGCUCGAGUGGCGAACGGGUGAGUAACACGUGAGUAACCUGCCCUUGACUUUGGGAUAACUUCAGGAAACUGGGGCUAAUACCGGAUAGGAGCUCCUGCUGCAUGGUGGGGGUUGGAAAGUUUCGGCGGUUGGGGAUGGACUCGCGGCUUAUCAGCUUGUUGGUGGGGUAGUGGCUUACCAAGGCUUUGACGGGUAGCCGGCCUGAGAGGGUGACCGGCAACAUUGGGACUGAGAUACGGACCAGACUCCUACGGGAGGCAGCAGUGGGGAAUAUUGCACAAUGGGCGGAAGCCUGAUGCAGCAACGCCGCGUGCGGGAUGACGGCCUUCGGGUUGUAAACCGCUUUCGCCUGUGACGAAGCGUGAGUGACGGUAAUGGGUAAAGAAGCACCGGCUAACUACGUG